rnacentral:lncRNA from 1 species
UUUGAGGGUUCUUCCUCGAUGGAUUUGCUUAUGUCUGGACUUGAAUCAUGUUGUAUAAUAUCCUCAGGCUUCACUUGCAAGGAGUCAAUAUGUUUCUGUACAUCUGUUUCACACAUACUUUCUGCAUUCGCCCCAUUUUCCAAUUCAGGUGUUAUUGACUCUUCGCCCCUAUUUUUAGGUUCAUCGUUAUUUCCUGAUUCCCUGGCACCGGUUUCCUCUGGAGCUUCUAUCAAAGAGUUUUGAUUGUCUUCUUCCAAACGUUCCUCAUCUUCCUGUGGAACACGUUUUGCAAUAUCCUACAAUAUGAAUACAAAGAGAUUACGAAUUGUGUAAAGUUUGGAGAAUGAGUUUUUGUUUUUCAUAUUCUUUAAGCUUGCUAUUACUUUCAUCUACAUGAUAAAAUAAACUUCAAGUAGUAGAGUUCAACUGAAAUUACCUGAGCCUCUUGAGUUUCCUCGCCUAUUGCAUCAACAAUCUUUUCUGUUAUUUUGUUACUUGAGCUAUCUUCUGGAUGUAGGAUUUGCUCCACAGUGGAACUUCUUUCAGUGUCUUGACAUGGAGCAAAUGCCUUGAUAUCCUCAGCUGCUACUUGAGAGGAGUCAAUAGGAUCCUCAACCUCUGCUACUUCCUCAAGCAACGUGCUUUCUGUGAUGUCAUCUUUUGGAGCAUCUGAUAAUGAUGUGCUUUCACUAACCUCUACCGAAUGUUCAUCCUGUUCCAGUAGUAAGCCAUCUACUUGGUUUUGUGAAUCUUCUUUAGUGUCCUCAUCUGGAGUUGCUGCAAAGUUCUGCAUCCAAGUAUAAAACAUUUGUUCAAUAUGUUUAUCUUGCAGAUAUAAAUACUUGUUAACUUUUUUCCAGCAUAACAUAGCAAUUGAUUUUUCAAAAAUUUGUCCACUAAAUUUGUGAUAAUAAAGUCAGCUUACUACUAUGAUUCUCACCUUAUCCUCAAGAGUUUCUUUCUUGAGAUCAGUUGAAUCAAGUGUUUUUGUAUAUUUUUCGUCAUACAUGGUUUCAUGAGAAUCUGUAGUCGGGGCUUGCUCUUCUAAAUGGCUUGCUUCUCUAUCUUGACCUGAAGAAGUAUCUUUAAUAUCCUCAUCUGCUGCCUGCAAUGACUCAAUAUGUACUUCUUCCUUUACCGGAGCACAUUCUAUUUUUUGCUCAUCUUCAUGCAAGUUGGCUUUUACAGUGUUUUCAUAUGCAAAUUUGGCCUCAUGGGUUGUAGUUGGUUUGUCAUCAUUGAUCUUUUCUGCUGGAGCUUCUUCGGAAGAAGGUUCUUGCAAGCCAUCCACUUGAAUUGGUGACUUAUCCUCGCUAUCUCCAUUUGGAACGCUUGUUACAGCAUCCUGUAAUGAUAAUAACUUAAGAAUUUUACAACACCCGAAGGGGACGUUUACUUUGCAUGAUUGAUAAGAUGCAUGAUUGAGUAUUUUUAUCCUCAAGAGUAGGAUUUCUCCAAUCCCACCCUUAUAAUGGGAAAUUUAUCAAGCAAAAUUAGCUCAAAUGAUGAAAAUAAUCAAGAGCCUUGGGAGUUUCAAUCCAUCAAAGUAAACAAGGUUACUAUUUUUAUCUAUCAAGGCUAAUCCUCCAAAGUAAAUGCCCCCCUAAGGGUAUUGUUUACUUGCAUGUCAUAUAACCAACUCAAAUAUCCUAAUCAGUAGUUAUGUUUGCAUCAGUAGAAUUUAGUUUGAUUCUCACCUUAUCCGUGGGAGUUUGAUCCUCCUCCCCUGUUGCAUUAUCAGGUAGCUCCUCUUUGUUAUCAUGGAUGAUUGCUUCCUCAUCAACAGAACUUGUUUCCCUGUCUCCACUUAAACGACGUGUUUCAAUAUCCUGAGUUGCUACUUGCAAUGACUUGAGGGGUUCUUCUUUCAUGAUCAAACCGCCUUCACUAACUUUUGGUGACUCCUUAUCAUUGGCACUCUCAGCUGAAGCUUCGAUCGACGGAUUUUCUUCUUCAAUUGCCAUGCUAUCUUCCUUGUUGCAAUCUGGAAUAUCUUUUGCAACAUCCUGUGGUAAAAAUAAAAAUUAUAAAAGUUGUAUUCACCAAAAAUCUGAAGAAGGAUAUUGCUUUGACUCUUUUCGUUUGGGAUCAUGCCUAGCCAUUUAUUGUUUACUAGCGUGGCAAACAAGUUAAUGCUGAUAAGUUAAGUACAUUAUUCACCUCUGUCGCAACACUUUCCUCAUUUGUGUGAGCCGCGUCAACAGAUCCUCUCUCUGCCUUGUCAGUUGAAAUUUCUCGUGGAUCUGUAUUUGAGGGUUCUUCCUCGAUGGGUUUGUUUAUGUCUGGACUUGAAUCAUGCUGUUUAAUAUCCUCAGGCUUGACUUCCAAGGACUCAAUAUGUUUCUCCACAUCUGUUUCAUACCUACUUUCUGUGUUCUCCCCAACUUCCAAUUCAGGUGUUAUUGACUCUUCGCCCCUAUUUUUAGGUUCAUCGACAUUUCCUGAUUCCCUGGCCUCGGUUUCCUCUGGAGCUUCUAUCGAAGAAUUUUGAUUGUCUUCUUCCAAACGUUCCUCAUCUUCCCUCGCUGAGCAAUUCACUUGGGUUACCGAGCUCUCUUCAAUGUGCUCAUGUGGAGUUUCUGUUGCAACAUUCUGCAGCCAGAUAUUAGAUAUAAACUGAUAAGCUAUAAGCUACAGGUAACUUAUUUCAUUUGUUUACUUUCUUCUUUCACACAAGCAACAUUAUUCAAAAAUGUAUAAUCUUGUAAAGAAAAUAUACAUUCUACUUGUGAUGCUUAGUCUUACCUCAACCUCAGGAACGAGAUCCUUCUUGUCUGCUGCACCAGUGAUUUUGUUGCUUGUAAUUGUUUGGGAGUUGUCUUCUAAGCUUCGCUCCUCAACUGAACAAGUUGUUUCUAUAUCUGCAGUUGAAGUAGAUGUUUCAUGAUCCUCAGGCUGCAAAUCCUCUUUCUCUGGUGUAGUACAGUCUGUACUCUUUUCAUCGUUGGGCAAUUCAACUUUGCUUGGGUAUUCAUCGCUAGUUUUUGGUUCAAGCAGAACUGAAUCUUUAUCACUGGCCUCGUCUUUUGACUUUUCAGUUAGUGAUGGUCUUUCCGGUUCCUCUUCCA